UUCUGUGAUUCUUUACACUACCAUGCCUCUGUGUUCCGCAGGUGCUCGGAAGACUAGCAUCCCUGACAGCCACUGGGAGCUUGGUGUAAAUGCAAACUGACUUUCCCCACCCGGAACCUCCAGGAUCAUCAGAAUCUGAGCUGAGCAAGUUCCCUAGGUUCUAAUUGUUGGCCAGUGUCUCGUUAAAAAGAAAUGAAUUGUCCCAAGAUCUCGGUGUGUGAGUGGCCACAGCGGCACCCGGUUGAGCCUGCGACUGCGGCCAGAUCCCUUCAAAAGCACUCUGCAACUCAGACCCAAUGCUGAGCAAAAACGGGAGGCAGGGUGGGGACAAAGGUUGGAAUCCCCUAAAGGGUUCAAAUAAAGUUUCUGUCAAACUAGUA